AGCAGUCGCCGCGGUAACACGAAGGGUGCAAGCGUUAAUCGGAAUUACUGGGCGUAAAGCGUGCGUAGGCGGUUUGUUAAGUCUGUUGUGAAAUCCCCGGGCUCAACCUGGGAAUGGCAAUGGAUACUGGCAAGCUAGAGUGUGUCAGAGGAUGGUGGAAUUCCCGGUGUAGCGGUGAAAUGCGUAGAGAUCGGGAGGAACAUCAGUGGCGAAGGCGGCCAUCUGGGACAACACUGACGCUGAGGCACGAAGGCGUGGGGAGCAAACAGGAUUAGAUACCCCUGUAGUCCCUGUCUCUUAUAC
rnacentral:rRNA from 1 species